rnacentral:rRNA from 1 species
AAUGGCUGCAGUAAUUUGACUGUACAAAGGUAGCAUAAUCAUUAGUUUUUUAAUUAAAAGCUUGUAUGAAAGGUUGGACGAAAUAAAAUCUGUCUCUUUUUAAAAAAAUUAGAAUUUUAUUUUUAAGUUAAAAAGCUUAAAUUUUUAUAAAAGACGAGAAGACCCUAUAGAGUUUUAUAAUUUUAAUUUAAUAAUUAAUUUAGAUUUAUUAAUUUUAUUUUAUUUAAAUUAUUUUAUUGGGGUAAUAGAAAGAUUAAAUAAAUUCUUUUUUAGUUUAAUCAUUAAUAUAUGAAAAUUUUGAUCCAUAAAGUUUUGAGUAUAAGAUUAAAUUACCUUAGGGAUAACAGCGUAAUUUUUUUUUAGAGUUCUUAUCGAUAAAAAAGUUUGCGACCUCGAUGUUGGAUUAAAGAUUAAUUUAGGUGUAGAAGUUUAAAUUUUUGGUCUGUUCGACCAUUAAAUCUUUACAUGAUCUGAGUUCAAACCGGUGUAAGCCAGGUUGGUUUCUAUCUUUAUUAUAGUUUUAUAUUUUAGUACGAAAGGACCAAGUAUAAAGUAUUUAAAUACUUAAAUUAUUGAAUAU